rnacentral:tRNA from 1 species
GCGGCCGUGGCGUAGCGGUAGCGUAGGGGACUGUGGCUCCCCUGGGCCGGGUUCAAUUCCCGGCGGUCGCC